CAAUAGCGUAUAUUAAAGUUGUUGCAGUUAAAAGCUCGUAGUUGGAUUUCUGCUUGUGUGUGGAACGGCGCUCAGAGAGUGUCCGGUCUAACACGCAGGCAUCCUUGGGAAAUGGCCUCUGGCAUUAAGUUGUCGGAGCGUCUCUCUUUCCCAUCGUUUACUGUGAAAAAUUAGAGUGUUCAAAGCAGGCUUAUGCCGUUGAAUACAUUAGCAUGGAAUAAUAAGAUAGGACCUUGGUACUAUUUUGUUGGUUUGCGUACCUAGGUAAUGAUUAAUAGGGACAGUUGGGGGUAUUCGUAUUCAAUUGUCAGAGGUGAAAUUCUUGGAUUUAUGGAAGACGAACUACUGCGAAAGCAUUUACCAAGGAUGUUUUCAUUAAUCAAGAACGAAAGUUAGGGGAUCGAAGAUGAUUAGAUACCAU
rnacentral:rRNA from 1 species